rnacentral:lncRNA from 1 species
GGCACUGUCUAUUUCUUACUGUCUCUCUCCGCCUGUCUGAUGAUCUUUGUCUCCCUGUUUCUCUCGUUCCCUCCCUGACUCUCAGUCAGUUUACCUCUCUGUCUCUCUGUCUGCUUCUGACAGUGUCUCCCUCUCUGUUUCUCUUGGCCUCUUGAAUUCUCUGUCUCUGAACAUGUGUGUCUGUCUCUCUUUCUCCAGGAUAAAGAAUGCUGGCCUCGGUGGGCACCCACAGUCCCUGCAGUUGGACUACCCUGCUCCCAGCUCCCAUAAAUAGUUUGGCUGAUACCUUGAGGACUAAAGAAGUGCAUGGUGGGGCACUAGUCCCAGUGGGGCUCCUCAUCUCCUGUCAUGACCCCCUCAGGGACUGGGACUGGCGAGCCUGGCUUUUGCAGGCUGUGUGACACUGGGAAUACAGAUAUGUUCACAGCGCUCAAAAGAAAGGUGAUACUGAACUUAUGAAGCAGAUAAAUUAGGGGUGAUUAUUCUCAUUACAAAAGGAUACGCUACAGGGAUUCUUUAAGUGGAUGUUAGCCAAGGACAGAGACUGGGUCUGUCUUCACUGUUGGCUUCUCAGCCCCUU